GAUGAACGCUGGCGGCGUGCUUAACACAUGCAAGUCGAACGAAACACCUUAUUUGAUUUUCUUCGGAACUGAAGAUUUGGUGAUUGAGUGGCGGACGGGUGAGUAACGCAUGGGUAACCUGCCCUGUACAGGGGGAUAACAGUCAGAAAUGACUGCUAAUACCGCAUAAGACCACAGCACCGCAUGGUGCAGGGGUAAAAACUCCGGUGGUACAGGAUGGACCCGCGUCUGAUUAGCUGGUUGGUGAGGUAACGGCUCACCAAGGCGACGAUCAGUAGCCGGCUUGAGAGAGUGAACGGCCACAUUGGGACUGAGACACGGCCCAAACUCCUACGGGAGGCAGCAGUGGGGAAUAUUGCACAAUGGGGGAAACCCUGAUGCAGCGACGCCGCGUGAGUGAAGAAGUAUUUCGGUAUGUAAAGCUCUAUCAGCAGGGAAGAAAAUGACGGUACCUGACUAAGAAGCCCCGGCUAACUACGUG
rnacentral:rRNA from 1 species